rnacentral:lncRNA from 1 species
UUAUUAUAAUAAUAAAUUUUAUUGUAAAAUUUAUUAUAAUAUUUAAAUAUAAAUAAUAUUUAUUAAUUUAGUACAAUUAAUAAUUUUAUAAUAAAAAUAAUGUAUUAUAAUAUAUAAUAUAUUAUAUUUAUAUAAUUUAGUUUUAAUUCAAUUUAUAAUUUUAAUUAAGUUUGAAAUUAAGCGUUGGAAUGGCACUAUUCCACCAAAAUAGUGGAAUAACAAAUCUUUUGCUAUUUCGGAAUAACUGGGAAUAGCAAGGUUUGACCGGAAUAAAAUAUUCCGACAACAAAUCUCCCCGUUUAGCAGAAUAGCGGCGAAAACUUUCGUUAUCUCCGCUUAUCCUCCGAACCAAAUGGGGUCUAAGAUUGUGAGUCUCACCAAUUUAUUUAUUUAUUUUUUAAAAUUAAUUAAAAAUUUUUAAUUAUUUUUUCUUAUUAAUUUAGAG